AUUGAACGCUGGCGGCAUGCUUUACACAUGCAAGUCGAACGGCAGCGCGGGCUUCGGCCUGGCGGCGAGUGGCGAACGGGUGAGUAAUGCAUCGGAACGUGCCCAGUAGUGGGGGAUAGCCCGGCGAAAGCCGGAUUAAUACCGCAUACGACCUGAGGGUGAAAGCGGGGGACCGAAAGGCCUCGCGCUAUUGGAGCGGCCGAUGUCGGAUUAGCUAGUUGGUGGGGUAAAGGCUUACCAAGGCGACGAUCCGUAGCUGGUCUGAGAGGACGACCAGCCACACUGGGACUGAGACACGGCCCAGACCCCUACGGGAGGCAGCAGUGGGGAAUUUUGGACAAUGGGGGCAACCCUGAUCCAGCCAUGCCGCGUGCGGGAAGAAGGCCUUCGGGUUGUAAACCGCUUUUGUUCGGGAAGAAAUCCUAUGGGCUAAUACCCCGGGGGGAUGACGGUACCGGAAGAAUAAGCACCGGCUAACUACGUG
rnacentral:rRNA from 1 species